rnacentral:tRNA from 1 species
GCUGGUGUAGCUCAGUCGGUAGAGCAGUGCUUUCGUAAAGCACAGGUCGUCGGUUCGAGUCCGACCACCAGCUCCA